rnacentral:rRNA from 1 species
UACGGAGGGUGCGAGCGUUGUCCGGAAUCACUGGGCGUAAAGGGCGCGUAGGCGGCCUGAUAAGUAGGGGGUGAAAUCCUGCGGCUUAACCGCAGGGCUGCCUUCUAAACUGUCGGGCUAGAGCACGGUAGAGGCAGAUGGAAUUCCCGGUGUAGCGGUGGAAUGCGUAGAUAUCUGGAGGAACACCGGUGGCGAAGGCGGCAUCCUGGACCAAUAUUGACGCUGAGGAGCGAAAGCCAGGGGAGCAAACGGG